UAACAGUUUACCUUUAGACAAAUGACUAUCAGUGACCAUUUCACCAGUACAAUAGGUGGAAAACGUAUGUUCUGCAUCAACCACUGUUGACUUGCUUGAAAGGUGAAGAUUUAAAAUUGAGAUGCAGAAAGGAAUGAAGGGAUGGCAGCCUAUGCUUAGUAUGAGAAGAUCCAGAGUGACUACUGCCAGAAGAUUAAAGUGAAGGUGAAACCAUCAUAUCAAACUAAUUCCCC
rnacentral:lncRNA from 1 species